rnacentral:rRNA from 1 species
CCCUUAGAUGUCCUGGGCCGCACGCGCGCUACACUGAGUGUCUGAGAUACGAGUCUGCCUGGUCCGGCAAGGUCUAGGUAAUCGCUAAAAGACACAUCAUGCUUGGGAUAGAUUAUUGCAAAUAUUAAUCUUGAACGAGGAAUUCCUAGUAAGCGCAAGUCAACAGCUUGCGUUGAUUACGUCCCUGCCCUUUGUACACACCGCCCGUCGCUACUACUGAUUGGAUGUUUAAGCGAGGUUCUCGAACUGCUAGCGACUUAGCUUCGGUGAGGUCGCAGUGUGGGAAGUGAACCUAGCUUUGGUGUCUAGAGGAAGUAAAAGUCGUAUCA